GAUGAACGCUGGCGGCGUGCCUAAUACAUGCAAGUCGAGCGAACAGACGAGGAGCUUGCUCCUCUGACGUUAGCGGCGGACGGGUGAGUAACACGUGGAUCACCUACCUAUCAGACUGGGAUAACUUCGGGAAACCGGAGCUAAUACCGGAUAAUCUAUUGAACCGCAUGGUUCAAUGGUGAAAGACGGUUUUGCUGUCACUUAUAGAUGGAUCCGCGCCGCAUUAGCUAGUUGGGAAGGUAACGGGUUACCAAGGCAACGAUGCGUAUGCGCCCUGAGGGGGUGGGUAGCCGGACUGGGACGGUGACACGGUCCAGUCGCCUUCGGGUGGCAGCAGUAGGGAUUCGGGCGCCAUCAGUGAGAGACAUACGAAGAUACGCCGCGUGCGGGAGGAAGGUCGUCGGGUCGUAAAACACGGUUAUUAGGGAAGAACAAAUGUGUAACUAACUAGGAGCGUCUGUACCGUUCCUAAGCAGAGAGCCACCGCCAACUUCGGUC
rnacentral:rRNA from 1 species